UACGUAGGGUGCGAGCGUUGUCCGGAAUUAUUGGGCGUAAAGAGCUCGUAGGCGGUGUGUCACGUCGGCCGUGAAAACCUGCAGCUUAACUGUGGGCAUGCGGUCGAUACGGGCAUCACUGGAGUUCGGCAGGGGAGACUGGAAUUCCUGGUGUAGCGGUGAAAUGCGCAGAUAUCAGGAGGAACACCGGUGGCGAAGGCGGGUCUCUGGGCCGAUACUGACGCUGAGGAGCGAAAGCGUGGGGAGCAAACAGG
rnacentral:rRNA from 1 species